GGUCACUCUGCUUGCUGCUGAUGGUCUCAACAUACUGAGGAGAGAGAGAGGGAGGGAGGAGCAGGGGAACGGGAUGAGCAGAAGCCAUAAGGAUAGCGUAUCAUGAAGUUGCCCCUAGGUCUAGAAUCUUGACACUGAUCUAAGAAAAUGGACACAUUUCAGUGGAUAUCACUCAACAAAGAGGUAUACAGACGAGGAGGCAUUCAAAGACUUAACCCUCCCUGAAUAUAACAGAAAACCUGUUUGAUCACCAUGCACUGCAAAAUCAUUCUGGCUAUGGAUACGGAGAACAUCAACACAUUAACAUGAACACACCAGAGGAUAUACCCACUGGACUUGGGGCUCUGCUGGGAGUUUACCUCAUAUUUAGAUUUUUUUAUUCUGCUUUGCCACUAAAAUCAU